rnacentral:tmRNA from 1 species
GGGGCUGAUUGGUUUUGACAGCGGGUAGAAGAGGCAGGUAAGCAUGCAGGUUUUGGUUGUUGACCUUUAAAAUAAUAACCGAAACAAUAAUUGGCGAAAAUAACUACGCUCUUGCUGCGUAACCGAAUUAAGUAAGUUACCUUCAUUCCGGCACCAGGUGCUGGAACGAGACAUCGCCCGGAUGCUAUGCUUUGAAGCGGUCCGAUCAGGCGGUGCAAGUAAAUCGAAGCUAGUUUAAGCGAGUCUCCGGCGCUUUUACGAAAUUAAAGGAGAUAAGGUAAACUUUGGUGGCCCUGAUCCGGUGUUUACACGAAAAUCAAGUCUGGGGAUAAGCAUGUAGAAAGCUUGUGGCUUCCUCGUUUGGACGCGGGUUCGACUCCCGCCAGCUCCACAA